UUGCUUCUGUGUUAGCCUUCUUUCCACUCUUUCCACCAUUUCUUCCUCAAAACCUCUCUCCCUCUCCCUCUCUCCCCCUUCCUUCAGCUUGAUUUCAGACUUCCAAACUCAAUCAAUUUCUCAAAAGUAUUUCCCUCCCCCAUAUUUGAUUCUUUCCCUUCAGAGAAAAACAGAUGGAAUUAAUUAUCUCUUACAUGUGUUGAGCUCUUUACCUUAGUAGUCUCUCUUGUUUUUCUUCUCAGACACUUGUGUGCUUUCUGGUUCUUUAUUGCAGUCAAAGAUCUGAAUCUGGGUUUGGAGGAGUAACUGGUUCUGAAACAGUUUGUAGAUAAAGAGAGAUCAGAUCCAAGAAGGAAAAACAAAAAAUAAAUAAGUGAAAGCUGGCAAGCAAGUGGUGGGAGAGAUUAGAUGUGGCCAUGGCGGGUUUGGAACAAGGCCCAGGAUCUCGCUACGUUCACCAGCUACUCAGACCUGCAGAGCUCCACUUACAAAGAUCCUCAGACCCUCAACACCAAACAACCCAAAUCUCAGAUUCCAAUGGAGAUUCUCCAGAGAAGGACCAGAAGUCUGACCCCAGUGCAGCCACCACUUCUUCUGGUGCUGCCACCGGAAAUCGCCGCCCUCGUGGUCGUCCUCCGGGUUCAAAGAACAAGCCUAAACCACCAAUAAUCGUCACCCGCGAUAGCCCUAAUGCACUCCGAUCACAUGUACUCGAAGUCUCCGCUGGCGCCGAUGUUGUUGAAUCGGUAUCGAAUUAUGCAAGGCGCCGAGGCCGUGGUGUCUGUGUCCUCAGUGGUGGCGGAGCAGUCGCUAAUGUGACGUUGCGGCAGCCUGCAGCUCCGGCGGGGAGCGUUGUAACUCUGCACGGGAGGUUUGAGAUACUGUCUCUUUCGGGGACUGUCUUGCCACCGCCAGCGCCACCUGGAGCUGGUGGGUUGACGAUAUUUCUGGCCGGUGGACAGGGACAGGUUGUUGGAGGAAGUGUUGUGGGGCCGUUGGUGGCGUCAGGGCCGGUGGUGUUGAUGGCGGCAUCGUUUGCCAAUGCAGUGUUUGAGAGGUUACCGUUGGAAGAAGAGGAUUCGCCAGUGCAGGUCCAGCCUACUGCAUCACAGUCUUCAGGUGUUACAGGUGGUGGUGGAGGUGGGCAACUUGGUGAGGGUGCAGGUGGCAGUGGUGGUGGGGGUGGUGGUGGUAGUGGUGGCGGCGGUGGUGUUCCUUUCUAUAAUUUGGGGGGUAACAUGGCGAAUUAUCAGUUUCCAGGUGAUGUUUUUGGUUGGAGUGGCAAUGCUGCAAGGCCUCCAUUCUAGUGGUGAUCAGCUGAUGGUGAUGAAAUGGAAUUUGAACAUCGAAACUUUGAAGCAACAGUUUCUGAUGGAAGUACUGGAAGUUUGAUCAAUUUGCAAGGCCAAGGAAUUGGAUCAUCUCAGCUAUUUCAUGAAGAAGAAGUAGAAGAAGAAGAACUAAGGACAAGUCAUGUCUUUUCAGAAGCCGGCCAAGAUUGUAAUUUCAUGGAGGAUCCAACAAUAAGAUCAAGUCCUUCCAGAAGAAGAAAGCUGGGAGGCUGAAAGAAGUAAUUCAGAGAACGAGAGACAAACUGAGUGUUAUUCAUUGGAAGAAUCCCUUCUACUACCGUCUGGGUAUACUCCUUCCAAGCCAAGGAGAUUCUAUAACAUUGGCAGUAAUUGGCAGCUUCCGACAAUGUCUGCAACUUUGUUGUGUUGGGUUUCAUAGUUUUAGUUCUAGUUUUCACAAUUUGAGGUUCUAUGGUUUUACGGUGAACUCUUCAGAAUGAAAAGAAUUCAUGGUUUCAUGGUGAUUUUCUCGUAAUUUUGAAGU